rnacentral:rRNA from 1 species
GACGAACGCUGGCGGCGUGCUUAACACAUGCAAGUCGAGCGGUAAGGCCCUUUCGGGGGUACACGAGCGGCGAACGGGUGAGUAACACGUGGGUGACCUGCCCUUAGCUCUGGGAUAAGCCUGGGAAACUGGGUCUAAUACCGGAUAUGACUCCAUGACGCAUGUUGUGGGGUGGAAAGCCUUGUGCGGCUAGGGAUGGGCCCGCGGCCUAUCAGCUUGUUGGUGGGGUGAUGGCCUACCAAGGCAACGACGGUAGCCGGCCUGAGAGGGCGACCGGCCACACUGGGACUGAGACACGGCCCAGACUCCUACGGGAGGCAGCAGUGGGGAAUCUUGCGCAAUGGGCGAAAGCCUGACGCAGCGACGCCGCGUGAGGGAUGACGGCCU